UUUUUUUGUUCCAGCAGCUUCAAUCUGUGCAGAUAGGAGUUACGGUUUGUGGGUGAUUUCAAGAUGUGGAUUUGCAAGUGGAUCCUUAUCUGCGGAGUCGGGACAGCGUUGGGCAGCAACGUGACGUCGAAGCCGAACGAAACGUGGCAUAACGAUGAUGAGUUGUCCGGAAAGAACCUCCAUCCAGUAUUGAAUGCCAUUGAUUUGUCUCUUCCAACGUUCAGUGUCCCUUACAAUGGUUACCAUAUUUCC